UUUAUAUGUUAUUCACACUUCCUCAAAAUAAAUUCAUUCACACUGUAGCAACACAGGUCAAUCAACAUUUUUUUAAGUUUAUUAUUAAAUAUUUUAUCACUCGCAGAGGUAAUUAUGUCACUAGGUAGGGUGUUAUAGAUCUUGACACCUAGGACAGCGAGUGACUUUCGAGCUUUAGCGAGUCUGCGGUGCGGGACAAGUAGCAGGUGUGCACCUCGAGUAUUUCUACCAUGACACUGUCCGCGCGUUGUGUAUUGGUCCAGAUUUAUUCAAGUAUAAAAGAAGCAUUCACUAUUAUAUCGGAGUGGCUACGAGACCACAACUUGGUAAUAAACACAUCCAAAACAAAAACAAUACAAUUUAGACCAUAUCCAAAACGACCUCUUGAUCUAACACCAGUUCUAAAGGACCUGAACAUCCAAGAUGAGGCUGAAUGCAACAUUUUUAGUACUAACUAUAGACACCCAUCUCAACUGAAAAAACAUAUAGUAAAAAUCAAAUCAAAAUUAUCUUCUUUCCUUUUCGCCUUCAGCAUACUAAAGUCUAACACACACCAAUUGCGCCUUGUCUGCUUACUACGCAUAUGUGCAAUCCUGGCUGAGCUACGGUCUAUUGCUCUGGGGCCAUACCAGCGACGCACUUGACCUCUUUAUCGUGCAAGACAAAUGCAUUCGCAUAUUAAUUAACACUCCCCACUAGACUGAAAAUUGUAAAUCUCAUUUCCAGAUUCUUCGAAUAUUGCCCCUCCCCUCACUAUACAUUCUAGAAAUAACCUUCGUAAAAAACAAUAUAAAUCCUUUCCAAUAUAAUAAAAGUGAGCGCCGUAAGGCCAUCUUAAUCCUCCCAGAAUCCGUUUUAGAUAUCUUUAAGAAAUGCCCAUAUUACCGUGCGAUAAAAAUAUGUAAUAAGCUACCAAAGGUUAUAAAAAACAUACAAAAAGUACAUUUAUUUGCAAAUCGACUCAAGACUAUCCUUAUAAAAAAAUCAUACUAUUCCAUAGACGAAUUUAUGCAGGACAACGAUAUAGAUAUUAUAUAGUGGUAGCUUCACAAUUGUUACACAAAUUAGUUAAGAGAAAUCAUAUUUUAGAUAUAAAUAGCCUUAAGGAAACCAUGUGAACUCUUUUAUCACUUGUAACAACUUGUAUUGUACCAUGGUAUGCAGUAAUGAUUACUUACUUACUUAAAAAUCACCUUCAUACAACCGCAGUCCUCAUUUUUGUCCCAGGAUAUUAACAUUAUUGAAAAUAAUUUGACACAAUAAGUUGUAUAUCAACCACAGCUAUGCCCCUACGUUUGAUUAUUUCCGAGUUUUUGAUUAUUAUAAAAGUUAGGGGCAUUUUAAAAUUUGUACGUAAUCGCUAUGUAUGAUCCUAUUUUUUACAAUAAUCAAAAAAUCGAAAAAAAGGCAAACGUAGGGGCAUAGCUAUGGUAAAUAUCUAUAUAUCAAAUUAUGUAAAAAUAUUUAACAUAAUGUCAAUAUCCAGAAAGGAAAAUGGGGACUACGUUUAUAUGGAGAAGCGGCCGCCCCCUUUCCCUUAACUCGUGCAAGUAACUACAUUCCCAACGCUUACCAAGCGCAUGUGAAUCAAGUAUAAGUAUGACUUCCGAUUAAACGUGCUUAUUAGGAAUUGUGAGUCGCGUUAUACUGGUUUACCAAUUCUGCGUUUGUCACUAUUAUAUAUAAAUAAAUAUAUAAAAAAACAACCUAGGUUCAAAGGCGCGUAGCAUUUCAAAAAAAUAUUGCAUUUGAAUUUAGGACGGGUCCCGCCGUGGUCGGGUGGCGUAGAGGUGAUGGCGUUAUACCGCGUAAGCUAAAGACGACGGAAUUUAUUCUGCGACGUCGGUUCGUUUCCGGCCUGGCGUACUGGAGGCUGGAGGGCUUUGUCACAUUUUCAUUAAUUACCUCUAUUUCAGUUUUUACUGUUCUUUUUUGUAAGAUUGUUCAGAAUAUUUAGAUAGAGAAGCAUUUCAUUCGAGGAGAGGUGGUAACGCAUUGUCAAUCUUGAGAUAUGAACAAUCAUCCUAACAGAACCAAAGAGCAUAUAAUCACUACGUCAGAACAAUCCAGCGCGGCAAUGCUGCCAACAUCUUCGGUACUAUGCUGAGGGCAAUAGGGUUGUUUCCAAUUUUUUGAAACGCUUGUAUUCCGUUCUAUAUUAGCUAAAAGUUGCCCUAAAAUUCAACUUUUAUACUAAAAACGGUUUUAAAUAUGUUAAAUUAACAAAAUAUAUUUUGACUGAUGCUUUCGCGCCCAAAACGCUCUUUGAAAAUUGUGUGACGUCACAGUUUACGGUUUGACACAUAAGUACAUACGCACGUAGAAGAUACGAACUGUCAACUGACAUUUAUCAUUUGUUGUUUAUCGCCUAACUGUCAAGAGUGUCAAUCCGAGAGUUGUGACGUCAUCAGAAUCUUCAAAGACGUUUCGAGAUUGGUCACGUGACGUGUGCCAAAAGAUAUUUUAAAUUCAAUAUUUACAAAAAUAUGGUUAUUACAGGUCCCCUCAAAGUAGUUUAACAUGUUCUUAUAAUCCAAAAGAAUUUAUUGGGAUACAAUUCUGCCAUAAGAUUUGUAGAUGGAAACAACCCUAUUUAUGUCAAAAAUUUGCCAUUUAUAUCGCAAUUAUGAUAAAUUCAUGUUUAGGUACUAAGUACGCUAAAGGUUAAAAUGGAUCAUAAAUAUUGAUUUGCAUGGCGUAUAUAUGUAAAACUUAGGAGGGUUUGAAGUUUAGAAGAUAAUCUGUUCCGAAAGAGAAGAGUCGUGGAAUGUAUUGUUCCCCAUACAUUCCACGACUUCUCUUUCCGAACAGACUUUAUAGACUCUUUAGUUCAAACUAUUUUGAAUCUGGAAGUCUGAAUUACUCAUUCUUUUUUUAGCUGAAAAAUAAUCGUUAGUAUGUCAGUACUGUCAGUCGACAAGUCAUGUUCAAAUUGUAAAAUUAAUUGCAAGAAAUAAAAUAAAACCUCAAAAAUAGCGUGAACAAUAACUCUAAAUAGUCUUAAUUGUAGAUUGUCUAUCCAAAGGUUUGGGAAUUGUUAAAGCCAUUAGACAAAGUCAUAUAGUGUUUGAGGCGCAAUCAACGAUCGCGUGAUAAAAACGCUGCGACUGUGUUUACAAACCUACUAGAGGGUAUAGCUAUGUCGGGGUUUACGUAUAGCAGUGAUACCUCCGAUAGGUGUUUUCAGCCUGGGUUAGCGCUGCGACGUUGCCAGUCGCUGGUCGCCAGUCGCGAUUUGCCUUCCCGUCCGCCUACACGCUCGGGCGCCCGUUCGGCGCGUGCUACGAAAGCCUACGACGUCGUAGCAAUGCUAUAUUUCAUACUCUAAGUUAAAUUCAAACUAGUGAUUUUAAACAACUUUUAAACAGUGACUUUGAGUUUGUGAGUGUGAAGUUAUAGUGUUAACCAAAUUAUCAAGUUAACUAUGGUGCGGUGUUUGUGUUAAUAGCCUAAGUAAACGGCAAGAUUAGGCACUUCGAAGUGAAACGUGUGACGAUGAAAAUGUUUUAGUUAAACAGGAUUAAAACUAAGGGAUUGUUUUCUGUGUUAGCUUAGGUUGACCUCAAGUGAUUCAGAAAGGUAUUCCAAAAGACCGAAAGGUGAGUUAAUAACAACUGUUAAUGCAAAUCGCGUUUACUUGCAUCGCUCGCUUUGUUUGUGUUCGCGUGUUAUACAAGUCGUAAAGUGUUGGAUUAAAAAUAGUGAUGUCUGCGUGCGUGAUGGAGGAGGGCCGGGAGGACGGCGGCGGUGCGCGCGCCGACGAGGACGGCCCGCCUGAGCGCACGCGCCGCGACGUGCUCCUGAGUGGUCGGGGGCGACGCGCUUGCUCCGAGCAGGGGCCGCAUCCUUCCUUGCAUCCACAACACAGUACAGCCACAGCGCACCUGUGGGGCCAGGGCGGCGGUGGACGCCGCGGUUGGAGUCGCAAGCGGACUUCUGCUCCACAAAUGAGUAAUCCACAUGGUUCGACGCCGCGCGUGGCGCUGGUGCUGCGGUCUCGGCGAAGCUGGCCCGUUGCGCCCCAAUCUUAUCGCAGGUACGAGAUAUUUAGUACAUUAUACUUUUUUUACUUAAGUAAGACGAAAGUGGACGGCCGCGCGAAAUCGCCUUUUUAUAUCAACGUACUCGUCAGUUUUCUCUCCGGAUAUUAAUACCAUUGAAAAUUUGUAUGGAAAUGGAAAUAGUUUUUCGCUCCUAAUUCUUAUUCUAAUAAAAUAAAAAUGCGUGAAUGUUGUGGUACACUCGGUUGGAAUGAAGUAUAUUAUUGUUGAUAAACGUUUUAUAUUAUUGAUUAAAAAAUACAAAAAAAAAAUCGAAUCUGCUUACGAAAGUCCACAAAUCAGUUCAGAAAUGCUACUUACAGGCAGGGAGAAAAACCAAACAUAAGAAAACAUUUUUGUACAACCUGAAACUGAUACGCUUAGCUCGAGCUUUACAGUCGCUUAGUAAAUGAAAAUAUAAAAUUUAAGUGCAAAAAAUAAAGUAUUAUUUGCAUACACGCCUGGGGAUUGAACUCGCAUCGUCGCUGUUGCCACCUGUUUCUAAGCGGCUGUUUGUUAUCUGCGCCGCUAUUAGAAAUCAGGACCUUUUUUUAUUGCUUGACUGGGACGGGACGUACGCGUUACGUUCAGGCAGUCUAGAAAGUAGUUCUGUUUUUCGACAUGACUCUUUUUACCUAUAGGAAACAUUUUUGUCCUCUUUUCGAUUAUUGGAUUUAGAUAAUGGGUCCACGAAAUUAGUAAAAGAAAUAUUUCGUGACAAAGACCAUAGUUAUUGAAAUAUCAAUUUGGUUUAGAGCAUAUCUUUAAUAAUUAUUCAACAAUGACGCUGACAGUAAACGUUAGGGUUACAUAUCAGAAAUAUCAGAAUACCUAAAAUCAAUUUACCUAAUGUUGAAUCACCCACGUAUGCUCGAUUCACCUAAUUUAUAAAAUACGUAAUUUAAUGAACCUAAGUUUAUAACACGUAAUAAAUCAAGUUUAUAACAUGCGCGUUGCCGACCCUAACCCCCCCCCCCCCCCCUCGUUGAGCUCUGGCAACCUUACUCACUGGCAGGAACACAACACCUACUACUAUCCUACCUAUGUUUAAACUUUUUGAAUAAACGUCUUUAUUAAUAUUAUUAUUUGCAUGUAUUUCCCAUCGCGGAGCCGAAGCCAACACGUAGAGGCCCUUUUGACACUUUAAUGAAAUGUAAGGGAUACACCUAGCGGAUGUUGCCCUUGCCCGUGUCUGGGACGCACGCAGAGGCAGCACCCGCCAGGGUGUAAGGACUAUUUGAGGGUUGAUGGAAUCUAAAAUGAACUGGGCUAUUGGGUGAAAGCGAUGGACUAAAUACUGGGCUAUGGGAUAAAAAACCGGACGCCUGCCUAAUAAAACGGUAUUCAAUUUUAUUUCCGGCAGACGGUGACUCGCCCCCACAAGAUGGGCCCCCACAAAAAGUGACAUCUAGGAUGGCUCAAGGGCAACACCGGUGUGAGCGGCUCAGGGGUGUCGAGAGGUGUGCGCCGCUUUCUACCCAGUGGCUGCGAGCAGCCACUGUGCCAACUCGCGUCUUAUGCAAUUUUUCACUUCCACCCCUGGAGCUUAUAGCUCUAACGACUCCACUCUGGGCGGCCGGCUAAGGCAAGCCAGAGGCAGAGAAUCCUGUCCCAACCACCCUCCUUGCGGGUAACAGAACUCCCCAGGAGCACUCGGGUACGUGAGGUCGUUACUCCUCAACAGCUCGCCACAAGCUGCCCUGCGUUGACUGAUUGCACUGGUAAAACCAGCGGGCGAUGGGGUCGUCACAUCCCUACGCCUAUAUUAUUAUUACUACUAAUGCACGUUUCGCCUAAAACUGUUUUACUUACGCUCAGAAUACCUAUGGUCAAUUUAGGAAAAUAGUAUAGUUGAUACACCUAAUACACGAAUUACCUAAAGCUGAUUUACCAAUAUCAUUUUGGCAUGAGAUCAAAUAGUUACUUAAGAGCUAAAUGAACACUUACUAUAAUUUUACAAAUCCGAUUCCAUCCGUUAUAUGCGGGUGAAACCGGACCGGAUACCAAAGUUCUGAGUUUUCUUGAUGUAACGUUCACGAAUUUACAUUGCAAAAAUUUAAAAUAUAUAUAUACUGCAACGUGUAUCAGAUAUCACUCCGUGUGUUUCUAUCCCAAGGCCAAGGUUUUAAAAAUUAUAAGUUUUACGUAAGUAAAAACAUAACGAUCAAGUUGAGGAGCAAAAAUGGAAAUCAUUACUUAAACAGGCACUGUUUUGACGUAAGUUAUUAUUAUAGCAGGCAUAUCUUCGACUGGUACUAAUUUGAAACGUGAUGAAAGUACCUAGUAAGAAAAUUAGAUAAAACACCUUUUUUACUUCUGUGACGCACCCGUUAAGUAAAUGUAGAACAAAUCGGUCCGCCCUUUGCACGCUUAUCUAAUUGGGCAGAGGCAGAGCGAGUCAGCGAUAGUUAGAAUGUAAAUAAUAGAGUGCUAUCGGAUUUUACUUGCUAUCUGGUUUCACCCCGUUUAUAUAGAAUUUUUAAUGUUAGUUGUUUUAUUUUAUAUCUUGAGUUAUUCUCUUAAAAUAUCAUUUGCCAA